AUUGAACGCUGGCGGCAGGCCUAACACAUGCAAGUCGAGCGGAUGAAGGGAGCUUGCUCCUGGAUUCAGCGGCGGACGGGUGAGUAAUGCCUAGGAAUCUGCCUGGUAGUGGGGGAUAACGUCCGGAAACGGGCGCUAAUACCGCAUACGUCCUGAGGGAGAAAGUGGGGGAUCUUCGGACCUCACGCUAUCAGAUGAGCCUAGAUCGGAUUAGCUAGUUGGUGGGGUAAAGGCCUACCAAGGCGACGAUCCGUAACUGGUCUGAGAGGAUGAUCAGUCACACUGGAACUGAGACACGGUCCAGACUCCUACGGGAGGCAGCAGUGGGGAAUAUUGGACAAUGGGCGAAAGCCUGAUCCAGCCAUGCCGCGUGUGUGAAGAAGGUCUUUGGAUUGUAAAGCACUUUAAGUUGGGAGGAAGGGCAGUAAGUUAAUACCUUGCUGUUUUGACGUUACCAACAGAAUAAGCACCGGCUAACUUCGUG
rnacentral:rRNA from 1 species